GAGGUGCGAAAGCGUGGGGAGCAAACAGGAUUAGAUACCCUGGUAGUCCGCGCCGUAAAAAGAUGUCAACUAGCCGUGAGGAGCCGUGAGCUCUUAGUGGCGCAGCUAACGCAUUAAGUGGGCCGCAUGGGGAGUACGGCCGCAAGGUUAAAACUCAAAUGAAUUGACGGGGGCCCGCACAAGCGAUGGAGCAUGUGGUUUAAUUGGAAGCAACGUGAAGACCCUUACCAGGCCUUGACAUCCAAUGCACUUUCUAGAGAUAGAUUGGUGCCUUCGGGAACAUUGAGACAGCUGGUGCAUGGCUGUCGUCAGCUAAAAUCGCGAGAUGCUGGGUUAAGUCCCGUAACGAGCGCAACCAUUGUCCUUAGUUUCCAGCAUGUAAUGGUGGGCACUAUCAGGAGACUGCCGGUGACAAACCGGAGGAAGGUGGGGAUGACCUCAAGUCAUCAUGGCCCUUGCGGCCUGGGCUUCACACGUGGUACAAUGGUCGGUUCACAGGGUUUCCAAGCCGGGAGGUGGAGGUAAUCCCAGAAAGCCGAUGGUAGUCCGGAUCCCAGUCCGCAACUCGUCUGCGUGAAGUCGGAAUCGUUAGUAAUUGUGAAUCAGAAUAAAGGGGUGAAUACGUUCCCGGGCCUUGUACACACCCCUUAAUGGAAUUCCCGCGGCC
rnacentral:rRNA from 1 species